rnacentral:RNase_P_RNA from 1 species
UAUUUUGGGUAAUCGCUAUAGCAAUAUAGAGGAAAGUCCAUGCUCACACAAUCUGAGAUGAUUGUAGUGUUCGUGCUUGAUGAAAUAAUAAAUCAAGGCAUUAAUUUGACGGCAAUGAAAUAACCUAAGUCAUCAGAUAAGGUUAAAUUAAUUUGAAAGUGCCACAGUGACGUAGCUUUUAUAGAAAUAUAAAAGGUGGAACGCGGUAAACCCCUCGAGUGAGCAAUCCAAAUUAGGUAGGAGCACUUGUUAUGAGUACAACGGAACAGAACAUGGCUUACAGAA